GGGUCCAUAGCUCAAUUGGAUAGAGCACCUGCCUUCUAAGCAGGGGGUUGUGGGUUCGAUCCCCGCUGGGCCUA
rnacentral:tRNA from 2 species